UAAUGGUUUAAUUCUAGCCAAUCAGUUAAUUUAUUCAUAGAGUUAUAUGGAUACAAUAAAUAUUUUUAUUACCAGUAAUUAAAAUUAAUAUUUAAGUUUCUUAAGAUUUAAUUAGUUAAUGAAUAUUAUAUAGAUAAAUAUUUGUGCCAGCAUUCGCGGUUAAACAAUUUAUAUAAAUUAAUUUUUUAGGUUUAUAAUUUUAUUUAUUAAAUGGUUUAAUUUAAAUUUAUUUGGGUGGAAUCUAUAAUUUAUUUAUAUUCCUUGGUUUAUUAUGUGAAGUUUUGUUGUUAAACUAGGAUUAGAUACCCUAUUAUAAUUAAAUGUAAAAUUUAGCUUGAAUAGUAUUAAAUAUGUUCUUUAAGGCUCAAAGAAUUUGGCGGUAAAAUAUCUUUUUAGAGGAACCUGUAAAUUUAUUGAUAAACCACGAUAUUUUUGACUUUUAUAUAAUAGUUUGUAUAUCGCUAUAUUAGGGAAUGUUUUGAUAAUAAAUUUUCUUUAACUUUAUGAUUUAUAUUAGGUCAAGGUGCAGUUUUAUAGGAGUUUUUAUGGGUUACUACAGUUAUAAUUUUAAGGAGAAAAAUCUUAAUAGAUUUAUUUGAAUAAGGAUUUAAUAGUAAAUUAAACUAAUUUGUUUAUUUGAAUUUUGCUCUAUUUUAUGUACAUAUCGCCCGUCACUCCUUAUUUAAGUAAGGAUAAGUCGUAACAAAGUAACUUUACCGGAAGGUAAAGUUAGAAUUAAGUAC
rnacentral:ncRNA from 1 species